UUUUUUUUUCGUGACAAGGUAUGGUUUUUAGUAGUAAAACUUUUUACCAUGUUGUUGACUUACGGUGGAAAAAAAGGGUUAGGGAUUACAAUCAAUAGUUUGUUAGCUAUUAUUGAUUAUCUAGUUUCAUAUGCAAGUUAAUAAGUGAUUUGAGUAACUACAAAUAAAUCUAUAUGAUAGUAAUUAAUAUAAUUGAUAACUUUGUGAAAAUGAUAACUAAUAUGCGAUCACAGAGUAUAUUUCAAAAUUUCAUGAAGUUUGUGUGUCGCAAUUAAUUAUUCAAAUUAAUCAUUAAAAAAAUUACGGAUCGAAUUUCGGGAUUCGGGUGUUGAUUCGAAGCGGAUUAAGCCCAAAAUUUAAACGAGGACGAGGCAAUUCCCUUCUCUUUUUGUGGGCUCCGCAUCCUCAACGGGCGUCAGUGAAAAAGGCCAGUCAAUUAAAGGGAAUCCCAAACGAAACAAUUCCUCCGCGCUUUUCCAAACGUUAAAAGUUCAAAGGAUGGAGGGCAAUGUAGUACUUUAACGCUCAGCCCUCAUCAGAUUUAGACCAUUAAAACGUCGCCGUAUUGCUGGUCGAACGAACUUCAACUUCCAGUCUUCUGUCUUUCCCCAGAUAGAGAGAUUGCUGAUUAAUGUGUCUCUCAUUUUUCAAAUUUGUUCUUCUUCGCCCAAAUUUUGAAAACCCUAACAUUUUCAGAUUUUUCGAGAAAAGUGUCUAACAAAUUUUGCUUAUUGAGCUAUCGAGGAAAUAAUAAUGGUGGGAGGAGCAUUGGCAGGGUUACAAGAUCAUGUGAAAUUGGCAAGAGAAUAUGCAGUUGAAGGCCUUUAUGACACUUCCGUCAUCUUCUUCGAUGGCGCUAUUGCUCAGAUCAACAAGUACUCUCUCAGAUCCCUUCUUCUUUUAUGUCUUUAUUUGUCUACGUAUUUAUGGAGUUACGUCCCGAAUUGCGAAAUGCGUGUUCCAAUUUAUGGUGCGUUUGGUAUGACUAUUAAAUGUUUGCCGCAAUGAAAUCAUUUCCUGUGUUUGGUUUCCUUUGGGUUUUGGGAAGGUAUAAGAUGUAUUCCAGCAAAAGGGGAAAAUAACUUACUGUCACUUGUGAGCUGAAAUUUUUUCUUUUUGAUGAGUAAAAAAGUAAUUUUUAUUUGUGUACUGAUAUGAUGAGGCUUGCAUUAUCAUUUCUUUAAAAAGAUUUUGAAGCUUGACGUAGUACCCAUAAUGAGAUGAAGGCUUUAAUCUGUUCUCUGUCAUUUCUGCUAAACUUAGUUAUAACAUUGUCUAUACCGCUUUGAAAGUAGUUAAUCCAGCUGCUUUUAACUGGGAUUGUUCCAUUCUUUUGGUCUAUGCAUAGGCACUUAAACACACUUGAUGACCCUUUGAUUCGUUCAAAAUGGAUGAAUGUAAAGAAAGCAAUUUCCGAAGAAACAGAGGUAGUGAAACAAUUGGAUGCCGAGAAAAGGGCUUUUAAGGAGGUUCCUAUGGGUGGUAGACGUCCUAAUUCACCUCCGAUUUCGACCAAGUCAUCUUCUUUUGUCUUUCAACCGCUUGAUGAGUACCCCACCUCAUCCGGUGCUCCAAUGGAUGACCCCGAUGUUUGGAGACCACCAAGCCGAGACACAACAAGAAGAUCUGCAAGAGCCGGUCCAGGGGGUAUGAGGAAGGGCCCACAAGAUGGAGCCUGGGCUCGUGGAUCUACAAAGACUGGAACCACAGGCCGUGGGGGAAGGACCACUGGCUCUACUAAGGCUACAUCUGGGGUUCGAUCUUCAACUACUGGGAAAAAAGGACCUGGAAAAUCCACAAAAGCUGACUCUACGGUAAAUUAUAGUGGACAAUCUUAUGUUUUGAUUUUUGUUUUUUUCUGUAAUUUGCCUCUCUUGAAAAUUAUUCAUUGGUAAUUCGUGUGCUUUUCUGUUUACUAGUUCUGGGUACGCGCGUUGCGCGUAUACUUUAAUAUCAAUUAGUAUUAACUUUUUAAAAAUCAUAUAAAUAUAUAAACUUGACGUAAAAAUUCUAUAAAUACACAAGAAAAAAUAUAAAUGAGUUGUCCUUUUGACGACAACAACAACAACAACAAUAAGUAAAAAGAUGGAGAAAUUAGAGAGCAAAAUGAACAAUAGUGGGAUAAAUGUGAAGUGCUCUAAGGUUCUUCGACAACAAAUAUAGCUCUAUCUUUUCAAUGGGUAAAAUAAGUAGGAAUUUAGAAUUAAGUCCAAAAGUGAGAAUUGAGAGCAAUGGCUUAAUAUUAUUCCACUGAACUAAAUCAUUAUAUAACUAAUUUCAUCCCUAUGACUAUUAGAACUACUUUAGUAGACUGGUAACUAUUUGAAUCAUGUUCGACAUAGAAUAUAUAUGUCAUAUAAGCUGCACUGUUGCACAUUAUUAUAAGAAAAAAAAUAUUUGUUAGACUUCACUAAAAUAAAAUUCCAUAAUCCAGAUUUGGAUUUAAAAGUCCAAAUAUAUACAACUGCUCCUAUUAACAUUCAAAAUAAGUUCCAUGUACGUUAUGCAUUAAAUUCUAUUUUAAAAAAAAAGGCUAAGAAGUGACAAAUACGCAAUCCUCCAUUUACACAAACACAUAUUUUUAUAUUCAACCAUUACACUGAUCCACUCUCUUCCCAGAUCCCACCCCCUUCUGUUUCUUGCUAACUAUUUCUUAAGCUUCAUUUACCACAACUACAAUGGAGUUUAAAGAAGAGUGGAGAUGUAGGAUAUUUCUUGACAUUUUUAAUUUCUAAUUAACUAAUAUAAUUUACCUAUAAGUUGCACCUGAUUUUCUCCUCUUUUCACCUUUUUAUUGUGUCUGCAUAAUUAAUCUUUAGUUUUCAAGCAGUCCCGCAAGAAUCUACGAUGAUUCAAAUUUUUCACCCUCGCAAGAUAAGUGGUUUUUGACAAGAGUGGUUUGUUUUAGUGGUGAGCAUCCUCCACUUCCAACCAAGAGGUUAUGAGUUCGAGUCACCCCAAGAGCAAGGUGAGGAGUUCUUGGAGGGAGGGAGCCGAGGGUCUUAUCGGAAACAACCUCUCUAUCCCAGGGUAGGGGUAAGGUCUGCACAGUGUUUUGGAGAGCGAGAAGCGGAAAAAAGCGAGGAGGCUUCGCUUCACCGAAGCGAGAAGCGUGAAGCGAAGCGCGCGCUUUUUUCAUGUGAAGCGCAAUAUAACACAUAAAUAAAAAAAAUUAAAUAGGCAUAGAUAAAUGACGAAGAACUCAAUAAAAAUAACAUAUUAAGCAAAUAUUUCAAUUCUUAAAUUAAGAAGUAAAUAACAGAUACUAAAACUAGAUAGUCAAUAAUCCUCAAAAGUCAUAACAUAUUAAGCAAAUGCAAAACUAAAUCACAAAAGGAAUUGUUAAAACAUGGCAUAACAGUGAACAGCAGAAGAGAAGAAAGAACUGAAGGAGAAGAAGAGAAGAAGAGCAGAAGAGAAAAAGUCGAAGGUUGCAAUCGUCGCUUGCAGCAGUGAAGCAGAUGUUUGGAAGAAGUGUGCGCAAGUGUAUUUGCAAAUUUUUUUUAAGAAAACCCUAGGCAGCCGCUGGACCUCGCUUAAGCGAGCUUUUCUUCACUUUUUUCAUCACCUCGCUUCUCGCUUUUUAGGGUGAAGCGUGCGCUUGUUUACCAAUGCCACGCUUUAGGGCAGAAAAGCGCAGACCCCUCGCCUCGCCUCGCUUCUGCGCUUUAAGCGAGAAGCGUGCGCUUUUAAUAACACUGGGUCUGCGUACACACUACCCUCCCCAUACCCCACUAGUGGGAUUAUACUGGGUUGUUGUUGUUGUUGUUGCAAGAUAAGUGGUUUAUUUUACCGUAUCUUGAUAAAGUAAAUGGUUAUAUAGUGAUUCUAGGAAAAAAAGAAAUGAAACGAUAUAUAUGAACGGACAAUCAAUUAUGUAUAGUUUGCAUUAAGUAGAUGAAUUUGAUAUUGUAUUAAAUUAUUUGAAUGAAUUUAGUCUAUAAUUGAUGAAUUACUCAUGCAACUUUUCAAAUUCUCCAUAUCCUUUUAUAGCAUUUAAGGGUAAUGUUGUUUGGUGUAUAUAGGAAUAAUUUAUUUGUCUUUCAAUCUUUUACUUUGAGGCUUCCCACUUAUACUAUAUAUAUUUGUUAGAAUCCGUGCGGAAGCAUAAGAUGAAGUACUCCAAGAUGAAGUACUCCAGAGAGGCUUAAAGUAUAUUUCUCAUUCCACAAUCUAACUAAGUGGGCGUUUGGACAUAAGAAUUGUAAAAUUUCAAAACAAAAGUGAAAUUUUUUUCAAGCGAAGAUGAUAUUUGAAAAUUAGAGUUGUGUUUGGACAUGAGUAUAAUUUUGGGUUGUUUUUGAAGUUUUGUGAGUGAUUUGAGUGAAAAUUUUGAAAAACAGCUUUUUGGAGUUUUUCAAAUUUUCGAAAAAUUCUAAAAUUCAUCUUCAAGUGAAAAUUGGAAAUUUUAUGGCCAAACACUGAUUUCGAAAAAAAGUGAAAAAAUUCUUAUGUCCAAACGGGCUCUAAGUUUGCUUUUUAAAUGACAUUGCACUGAAUGCAUCUACAAUUUUCUAAAAAGUUAUCUUCAAUCCAACAUGAAAAGCAUACAAAAUACAAUGAAUUAAUUAAAAUUUGCAGUGUCUCUUAAAUGUGUACAAUAACAGUUGAACGCAUGACAACCCAUUAUUGGAAUUAUUUUUUCUUUCAUGAAUAUUGUGAAUUAUUUACCACCACAACAUUAAGUACAAAACAUCAUUUAAUGGAAGGUAAUUUUACUUUUAGAUAGAGGGUAAUUUGGUCAUUCAGUUUUCAAAGGACAUUUCAGUAAACUAACUUUACCUAAAAGUGUUCAUGCUUAUAAUAUUGUAUGAUUUAGAAAUUUGUGAUUAGUUAGUCAGCUGACUGUUUAUGUUGUAUGUGGCAAGCUGCAAAUGUCAUUUUUAUCAUACGUGUAGCUUGUUCUGGUCAGUUAAUCAGCUGAGUGUCUAUGGUGUGUGCCAAUCUCCAAGUUUUAUUUUUAUCCUAAUAUGUGUCUUGUUGUGGUUACCUUAUAUGUAAGUGUUCCUAUUGAAUACAAGGACAAUCGGCUUCAUAAUGCUUUCUAAUUCCAUAACUGUUACUUGUUGAAUAUGGGUGUCCUUGUUAGACCAUCAACUAUGAGUUGAAUCUGAGUCUAUAUGUUAAGAACUUCUAUUGCAAAUUGCUAGGAUGGUGAUGCUGAAGAAGGGAAGAGUAAAAAAGGUCAGUACGAGGGGCCUGAUGCGGACCUGGCUGCUAUGCUUGAGAGGGAUGUCUUGGAUUCCACCCCUGGUGUGAGAUGGGACGAUGUUGCUGGGUUAAGUGAAGCCAAAAGACUUUUGGAGGAAGCAGUUGUUCUCCCAUUAUGGAUGCCAGAUUAUUUCCAGGUAUCAUAGUUGGAUUAGAAGGGAACAUUUGUGGAGUUUUGUGUUUUGUCUUUAUUCUGCAAAGUAGCUUUUGUACAAGUGAAGAUUCACGUGCACAUGAGUAAACUGUACUUCUUAUGAUGAGAAUAUGAAGACCUUAUAUGAUUUGGGCAACAGUACCUAGUGGCUACUUUAGCAAAAACUUUGUGCUAAAUGUACUAGGAGCUUUUAUGGUAGUGUUAUGUUCACACACCUAUCAAAGAGGAAAUAAUGCAUCUUCGACCUAUAUGCAUCGUGUCACACUUUUUACUGAUCAGAUAUGUAUCUUUGCAGGGAAUCAGGAGACCAUGGAAGGGUGUUCUUAUGUUUGGGCCUCCUGGAACGGGGAAGACACUUUUGGCUAAGGCUGUUGCUACAGAGUGUGGGACGACAUUUUUCAAUGUUUCUUCUGCCACUUUGGCUUCAAAAUGGCGCGGGGAGAGUGAACGCAUGGUGCGGUGCUUGUUUGAUCUUGCUCGCGCUUAUGCUCCUAGUACAAUUUUCAUUGAUGAGAUUGAUUCUCUUUGUAAUGCCCGAGGGUGAGGACUUUGUCUAUUAUUCGAUGCUACCUAAAUCUUUUCAGCUGACCUCUGUUUGGUUAAAUGCUUCUUUUGAAGAUUAUGUAUGAUGUUGGUUUAUACUAGUGUCGGAUAUAAAAGCUUUCACUUGUAUCUUUUCGAAUGGAUAAAAAUUAACCUUUUGAAAUGAGUACUGUUGCCUCCAAAUACUUGGUCCAGUGUGCCUUAAUCUGUGACCUAAUUAUGGUAUGUUGAGUAGUUUCUUACACUCUUUUUGAGGUUGAACCUGAGAUAAUGGUUGGAUCGCUUUUCAGGGGUUCAGGAGAGCAUGAAUCAUCCCGAAGGGUGAAGUCUGAACUUCUUGUUCAGGUAGAUGGUGUAAGCAACUCUUCCACUAAUGAAGAUGGCACUCGGAAGAUUGUGAUGGUUUUAGCAGCUACAAACUUUCCAUGGGACAUAGAUGAGGCAUUAAGGUUGUGUCUCAUCGUAUUCGUUCUUUUCCUUUAAUUCAUUGAGAUGCAUGUGAAUGUCUCCUCGACCUAAUUCUGUUGAUGGAAAUUCAGGAGACGUUUGGAAAAACGUAUAUAUAUUCCCCUACCUAGCUUUGAGAGUCGGAAGGAGCUUAUACGGAUCAAUUUGAAAAGUAUUGAGGUAAGCAGUGUUUUGAAAAUGUUUUCUCAGUCCACUUUCUCGUCUUUCGUAUGUCCCUGUUAGCUCCUCAUGUAUCUGUCUAUAGCUUCUUUGAAUGUAAUUGCCCUUGCAGUAUAUAUUGUGUUUAUCAAAGCUAUGAUUAUUAGUUCACUAUGAGAAAAUUCUACUGUAUGAUUGGUGCAUAUUUAUCAAUCUUGGUAGCUGUGGCUUGUGGACUUUUUCACCUGGCUACUGUGGCAUCCUAGAAUAAUAACGAGAUUUCAAAGAGAUAAAAGGGAAAAACAAAUAACAAGAAGGCCAAGUAGAUAUUGAGCAAUAUAACAUACAGUUAUUCUGUUGCUUUUGUAUCAGAUGAAUUAAAACCUUUAGAAACAAUAUGUGAUUAUGUUCUACGAAAGACUGUCUUAAGCCUAAUCUGGAAAAUGCUCUUCUAACUGUUAUAGCUAUCUUGCCCUGGAGUAAAUAAUGGGAAUGUGUACUGAUACCUGUGAAAAGAUGUUGAUCCACUAAUGGAUGCAAAGCAGUUUUCUUUUUAAUUGAUCCUUUUAGGUGUUUGUCAGAUAGGUAACGCUGUAUGAACUCUUUGGUGAAGGUUGAGAUACGAGGCUUUGGAAAAGUCACUCCGAACACUUGCUCUUGCAUAAUUAAGUAUAUAAAUGUUCACUUUACAUGAUUUAAAAAAAGGAAAAAUUAAAUACAUGGAUGUUGAACUUAGAUGUCUUGUCAUUGGAAUUUGGUGAAUCAAAGAUGUGAUGUGUUUGCGUUAGUGCAGGAUUUGGUAAUUGUACUCAAAACAUUAUGUCUUGGAUGUCUUGUUUUAUUAACAGCUAUGCUGUGUUAUGUUGAUCUAUAUCUGAAGUUUCUUCUGAUUUGUUUUUAUGGGUAAAAUUUUAUUACCUUGCAUUUACUUGCACAAAAUGUUAAAUUAUAGUUUAUUCAACCCAUAGUUGCAUCCUUUUCAAUUGUUAAUGUUUAAGGCGCUGCUACUCAAAAAAUGCACGUAGAAAGUUUAAGACAGCUUAUGACAGGCGAACUUUGUUUCAGAUGUUUGGACUUUGAAGAAUACUCUACAUCCUUGACAUUUCAUUGAGUUUUCUGCUUUUGCAGGAAUAGUAAAUGGGGACAGACUUCAAUUAGGAAUUUUUAGUUAAAAGUUGGUCUCAAUUUGAAUAUUCUUGAUAUUCUUUUUCUUUUUGUUUUGAAUUCCGUACAAGCAUGCUUUUUCUCCAAUUUCUCAAGGCAUCAACAUUACAAAAAGUACGUCUCUUUAUUUGUACACCUGGCUUUCCAUCUAAUUGAAUUCUAGCUUGUAAAAAUAUUUUUCUAAGGAUUAUGCUUCUGCCUUCUGAGGGAUGAGUUUGAAGGAAUUCUACCUAGUUUUUUCGUUGGAUGAAUCUUUCGUUUAACAGUGCAAAUAUCUGGCAAUGACAUCAGGUAGCUCCAGAUGUGGACAUAGAGGAAGUGGCUCGUAAAACAGAGGGAUAUAGUGGAGAUGACCUCACAAAUGUCUGCCGAGAUGCUUCUAUGAAUGGCAUGAGACGAAUGAUAGCUGGGAAGACCCGCGAGGAGAUUAAGAACAUGUCUAAGGAUGAGAUUGCUAAGGAUCCUGUUGCAAUGUGCGACUUUUUAGAAGCCAUUAGCAAAGUUCAACCAAGUGUCUCAGCUGCUGACAUUGAAAAACAUGAGAAAUGGUUUUCGGAAUUUGGAUCAGCUUAAAGGAUAAACUGAUGCAAGCAAUUCACUCAUUUUCUUUACAUUUUUUUGUCCAUGUUUGGUGGUUGGUUCUUCUGGUACUCCUUCUCACUUGUGUACUAUUCAUAUUCUGAUCAGCACUGGAAUGAUCAACUUAUGUAACAUGACAAAUCACUAGGGGUUCAUACCUCGGUGUUCAUAGGUCAGUCAAUUGACUGGUUAUUUUCUUGCAUUUGAUUUAAUUUUUUCGCUGUCGUGGAAGUGUCCAUUGCAAUUAUGAGAUGGAAGGUGGUUUAAUUUUUUAGCUGUCAUGGAAGUGUCCAUUGCAAUUAUGUGGUGGAAGGUACUUAACUCUGUAGAACUUGUCUGUAACUUUAUUAAAGGAAAUUCCUUAAUUAGAAUCUAGAGAGUUAAGUCAUAGCAUCUUGUGACCUCAUGGUUUCAUUCAAUACAAUGUUGCAACUUAAGCAAAUAGCAGUUCUCUGAAAGUAAAAUAUCUACUUGGUCAGCUUGAUAUGUUUUGUGAGGCUGAUAGAUGCUCCAAAGAAGCAAAGAGCAGUUCUCUGAAAGUAAAGCUGAUUCAAGCUUUGACACUCUUUAACACAUACUUUUAAAUGCCAGUAUGCAAAAAAGCCUUUCUGAUCCAGACCACAUCUGCUUAAUACUCACAUGUAACUAACAGCAUAGUCCUUAGUGAUUUAGUGGGCGUUUGGACAUGAGAAUUGUAAAAUUCCAAAAUAGGGUGAAAACAUUUUUCAACUGCCAAUGGUAUUUGAAAUUUAGAAUUGUGUUUGGACAUGAAUAUACUUUUUGAGUUGGUUUUGAAGUUUUGUGAGUGAUUUGAGUGAAAAUUUUGAAAAACAGUUUUUUGGAGUUUUUCAAAUUUUCGAAAAUUUUCAAAAUGCAUCUUUAAGUGAAAUUUGAAAAUUUUAUGAACAAAUGUUGAUUUCGAAAAAAAUAAAUUUUUUUUGAAAAAAGGGAAAAAUUUCUUAUGUCCAAACAGGCUCUUAGAAUAGCGAUAUGAAUUGCUUAUUUGAGCCACUAAAGACGUUAAAAUAGGCUUGUCAAAGCUGGAUUUGUCAAUAGUACUGUAAAGCAACAUGAAGCUGAAAACACACACACACUUCAAAACCUUUUUUCUUGAUAAACACUCCGAUUUAUAAAACAAAAAAUAAAGUUAAAACAGAUGUCUUAACUUAAGCCUCAUCUCCAAUACAUGUGCUUUCAGAUUAAGAAGAUGCAUAUAGAAGCUACAGUUGUAUUCCACACUUAAAUCAGUGAAUUAGUUUGGAUUCAAUGACCAGAAAUUAAAUGUACAGAAUUCACGCAACUUAACAAUCUAGAUAAUAAAAAAGAGUGUAAUUAACCGAGUUCCAAUAAAUAAAUUAAAUUGUAUCCACGAUAAAGGGAAAGUUCAGGGGAGGGAGGGAGAUAGAGGGACAGAGAGAGGAACACUACAUCUUUGGAGGCAAAUAACACCUAGAAUCAAUUACAAACUAUACGUGAAUGCAGGUUAAUCUGACAUUACAAAGUUAUCGUAUGAGAAUAUCAGUGUACAUAGUACAACAACAAAUCCCACAAGUGGGGUGUGGGGAGGGUAGUGUGUACACAGACCUUAAGGUAGAGAGGUUGUUUCCGAUAGGCCCUCUAUAUCAAUGUACAUAGUACUUCAGCUUUAUCAAGCAAAAGAACAAGAGGACAUACAAAUUCGUCUACGAUGAAUCUUCCCAAGGGUAAAAAUCAGCAGUAAGGGGGUAAAUGUUUCUUAGAUUACCCUUUGCAGAAAAUUUAUGCAUCGCUAAAUCAUAGAGAUUUGUCUUGCCAAUGCCUCCAUUAAGUGGGAGAAAGAUAACGUAUUUGACACAACCAAAUUACAUAAUCGAUCAAAGCAACAAAACCUCUUACCAUCACGAGAGGGACAAAAGCUAUUUCAUUUAUAACAUAACCAAAAGCAUACUCGAUACAUCACUCAAAGAUCGGGAUGAUCUUAUUCUUUAAAUGAAUCUAUUACAAUUAUAUGACUGAAAAACUGCUUACUAACUAAUACUUGUAAAAACCAGAAUACAAAGUAUUGGGUUUGGAAUGAAUUGGUUACAUCUCCCUAAUGGAGACAAUACAGAUCAAAACAAUAUUGAAUACUAAAUCAAGGAGGCAUAGCCCUCAAACCCUUGAAUCAAUUACCUUAACUAAAAAUCUAUGGCAGUUAAACAAUACCAUUAGCUACAUUGGCCUUAA
rnacentral:lncRNA from 1 species